AUACGUAGGUGACAAGCGUUAUCCGGAUUUGCUGGGCGUAAAGGGCGUGUAGGCGGUCUUGCAAGUCAGAAGUGAAAUUCCUGAGCUCAACUCGGGCGCUGCUUCUGAAACUGCAGGACUUGAGUGCUGGAGGGGAUAGCGGAAUUCCUAGUGGAGCGGUAAAAUGCGCAGAUAUUAGGAAGAACACCGGUGGCGAAGGCGUCUUUCUGAACAGAAACUGACGCUGAGGCGCGAAAUCGUGGGGAGCAAACAGGAUUAGAUACCCUUGUAUUCCACGCCGUAAACGAUGAAUAUUAAGUGUAGGGGGUAUCGACGCCCUCUGUGCCGCAGUUAACACAAUAAGUAUUCCGCCUGGGGAGUACGGCCUCAAGGUUGAAACUCAAAUGAAUUGACGGGG
rnacentral:rRNA from 1 species